rnacentral:rRNA from 1 species
GUGGGGAAUUUUGGACAAUGGGAGCAACCCUGAUCCAGCCAUGCCGCGUGCGGGAAGAAGGCCUUCGGGUUGUAAACCGCUUUUGUCAGGGAAGAAAUCCUUUGGGUUAAUACCUCGGAGGGAUGACGGUACCUGAAGAAUAAGCACCGGCUAACUACGUGCCAGCAGCCGCGGUAAUACGUAGGGUGCGAGCGUUAAUCGGAAUUACUGGGCGUAAAGCGUGCGCAGGCGGUUUUGUAAGAUCGAUGUGAAAUCCCCGGGCUCAACCUGGGAACUGCAUUGGUGACUGCAAGGCUGGAGUGCGGCAGAGGGGGAUGGAAUUCCGCGUGUAGCAGUGAAAUGCGUAGAUAUGCGGAGGAACACCGAUGGCGAAGGCAAUCCCCUGGGCCUGCACUGACGCUCAUGCACGAAAGCGUGGGGAGCAAACAGGAUUAGAAACCCUGGUAGUCC